rnacentral:rRNA from 1 species
AUUGAACGCUGGCGGCAGGCCUAACACAUGCAAGUCGAGCGGAUGAAGAGAGCUUGCUCUCUGAUUUAGCGGCGGACGGGUGAGUAAUGCCUAGGAAUCUGCCUGGUAGUGGGGGAUAACGUUCCGAAAGGAACGCUAAUACCGCGUACGUCCUACGGGAGAAAGCAGGGGACCUUCGGGCCUUGCGCUAUCAGAUGAGCCUAGGUCGGAUUAGCUAGUUGGUGAGGUAAUGGAUCACCAAGGCUACGAUCCGUAACUGGUCUGAGAGGAUGGUCAGUCACACUGGAACUGAGACACGGUACAGACUCCUACGGGAGGCAGCAGUGGGGAAUAUUGGACAAUGGGCGAAAGCCUGAUCCAGCCAUGCCGCGUGUGUGAAGAAGGUCUUCGGAUUGUAAAGCACUUUAAGUUGGGAGGAAGGGCAGUAAGUUAAUACCUUGCUGUUUUGACGUUACCGACAGAAUAAGCACCGGCUAACUUCGUGCCAGCAGCCGCGGUAAAAC